UACGAAGGGGGCUAGCGUUGCUCGGAAUCACUGGGCGUAAAGGGCGCGUAGGCGGAUAGUUUAGUCAGAGGUGAAAGCCCAGGGCUCAACCUUGGAAUUGCCUUUGAUACUGGCUAUCUUGAGUUCGGGAGAGGUGAGUGGAAUGCCGAGUGUAGAGGUGAAAUUCGUAGAUAUUCGGCGGAACACCAGUGGCGAAGGCGACUCACUGGCCCGAUACUGACGCUGAGGCGCGAAA
rnacentral:rRNA from 1 species